UCCUACGGGAGGCAGCAGUGGGGAAUAUUGCACAAUGGGGGAAACCCUGAUGCAGCCAUGCCGCGUGUGUGAAGAAGGCCUUCGGGUUGUAAAGCACUUUCAGCGAGGAGGAAAGGUUGAUACCUAAUACGUGUCAGCUGUGACGUUACUCGCAGAAGAAGCACCGUCCC
rnacentral:rRNA from 1 species